ACGGAGACCCCAAGCAUUAUCCGGAAUUACUGGGCGUAAAGCGUGCGUAGGUGGUUCGUUAAGUCUGAUGUGAAAGCCCUGGGCUCAACCUGGGAAUGGCAUUGGAUACUGGCGAUCUAGAGUGCGGUAGAGGGCAGUGGAAUUCCCGGUGUAGCAGUGAAAUGCGUAGAGAUCGGGAGGAACAUCUGUGGCGAAGGCGACUGCCUGGACCAGCACUGACACUGAGGCACGAAAGCGUGGGGAGCAAACAGGA
rnacentral:rRNA from 1 species